rfam:Gossypium raimondii chromosome 10, whole genome shotgun sequence.
AUCCCAAGAUGAGGACACCUAUGAAGUAAUACCUUGAAUAUUUCCCACGCCUCAUAUAAAGAUUCGUCAUCCAUUUGUUGGAAAAUAGUUAUCUCAUUUCACAAUUU